AACACUUCUCUUCCGGUGUAUAUAUGUGCUUGGAAUCUACAUAUUGCUAAGUGGGUGCUGUGCUAUUUUUAGGAUUCACAGUUUAGGUACUGUAGCUGCAGCAGUAGAGUGAGAAGCAAUACGUAACAGAAUUCCAUUGGAUUCUGAGAGGGCUCAGUUUGUUCCAAAGAGUUCAUUGAAGAAUCUGCACUGCACUUUAUGUCAUUACACCUCUUUGACGUUUGUAUUUACAGAAUAUUGCGGGUGCCAGAUCCCACGGAUUUGAUUAUUGUAUUUAAAUAAUACUGGCUGUUACUGAGGUCCCAGGCAGCGUGAUGUCUCAGCCAAUGAGGGGUUUUACGAGCACCCCUUACAGAAGCCUCAGAUGCUGGGUACCUCUCUCAUCUCCUCCCGAGGGGCGGCUUUCCAAGUCAUAACCCUCAUAUGUGUUUUCGGUUGCCGGGUCCUCCGCCCCUGGGAUGUCGACAGCGUCGGCCCCAGUCGGUGACCUCUUUUCUAUCCUGUUUCGGUUGCCGGGUCCUCCGCCCCUGGGAUGUCGACAGCGUCGGCCCCAGUCGGUGACCUCUUUUCUAUCCUGUUUCGGUUGCCGGGUCCUCCGCCCCUGGGAUGUCGACAGCGUCGGCCCCAGUCGGUGACCUCUUUUCUAUCCUGUUUCGGUUGCUGGGUCCUCUGCCCCUGGGAUGUGCGACAGCGUUGCCCUCAGUCAGUAACCACAUUCUGUCCUACUAACUGCUCCUUGCUGCUUCUUCUGCCUUAUCCUUCCCCCCCAGCUCACGCCCAGUGAAAUAUAUAUAUAUGGACUCCAGUGCCACAGUACUGCAUACAAAUUAUAUUGAAAUGGGAUGGGAUUUGUACAGCAUUUUGCAGUGAUCUUACAGUGAGGAGAUGCAUUAGGGAGUAGUACAGGUAGUAAAUGUUUUGUUCACCUUUCAUUUGGGCACAAAUAAAGCAACAACAAAACUAGCAAAGAACCAAGAUAUUCCUGUCACAAUGAAAGGUGUUGUUCGAAACCAAGAAAGAAAAUAGUAAAUUGAUAAACCGGGAUUACUGCUUUUACAAAAGGCAGCACGUUUCUGAUGAACUAACCCACCCCCCUUAUCUUUUUAUAAUGUUUACUAUCAUUGUGAGUGCUUCUUAUUGCAAUUACUCAAUAUGUAGCUUGUUUACUGUGCUUGACAAUGAGUUCAGAAACUACUCUUCAGUUCUAGUCGCCUGCCAUAGACAUCUGUAUUGUAGGGUAUAUCAGUCGGUGUCUUUUAAAGUAGUAAGAACCAGCACCAUGUAUAUUUCCAGCAGUACUAAAGGAAACUUGAUCCAAAAUAGCUGAUUACUAGAAGUGUCUUUAUAUAACUGUUUAAGAGGGGAAUCUUUUCUUGUUUGUGUUUCUAUGCUUUUGAUUAUGCUUAUGCUACUUCUACCAACAUUACAUCUAAGAUGUGCUGGUGUAAAAUCUUCCUUAAUUGCUUAAAAGUGGGUAUUAUUGAAGUACUUUUAUUUUUUUAUUAUUUUGUAGCAUUUUAGCUAGAGAAGAUGUUGUUUAUGUUGUGUAAGAAUAUCUUGUUUAGCUUCUGGCAGUGAGGUAUAGUGAGUUUUCAGGUCAUUUCAGGACAUAUUAAAAAAAAAAAAAAAGAAAAGACAAAAAGAAA